AUACGGAGGAUGCAAGCGUUAUCCGGAUUUAUUGGGUUUAAAGGGUGCGUAGGCGGUUUGCUAAGCGGGAGGUGAAAUGCCGGCGCUCAACGUCGGAAGUGCCUCCCGAACUGGUGGACUGGAAUGACUCUGCCGUGGGAGGAAUGUGUAGUGUAGCGGUGAAAUGCUUAGAGAUUACACAGAACACCGAUUGCGAAGGCAUCUCACGAAGGGUUGAUUGACGCUGAGGCACGAAAGCGUGGGGAUCAAACAGGAUUAGAUUCCCUGGUAGUCCACGCAGUAAACGAUGAUGGCUAACCGCUGGUUUAUUCGGAUCAGUGGCCAAGCGAAAGCGAUAAGCCAUCCACCUGGGGAGUACGACCGCAAGGUUGAAACUCAAAUGAAUUGACGGGG
rnacentral:rRNA from 1 species